AGAUUCCAGUCUUGCCUCCUGGCCUCUGCCAGCAUGGUUAUUAAGUCUACUUACCAAGUUCAAUCCCAGCAAGAUGUCACGAAGAAGAAUGUCUACCUUCUCAACUUUAAUCUACACUACAUUCAUAUUUCUAAUCUUCGCGUUGUUGUCAACUACGACGUCGUCGGAACUCAUCAACGCCACAACAUCACCGACGCUAUCGGCCGGCGGUGACAACAGACUGUUGGUCCUGCCGUCGUCACCUGACGGCUCGCAGCCCGCCAUUUCUGAAACCGAUGCGAAUCGGUCAGAUUCAAACCCUACAUUCUUGGCAGCAAAACUGCCGGAUAAAGCGACUGUGAGCAACUAUACCGCACCCUCCGUCUACCUGCGAGAGCAAGUCAAUGUGACUGAACGUCGCUGGUUGGUGCCACAGCGACAAAAUGACAGUUAUUUCAAAGCCAGCGGGCGGGAGGGUGACAAGGGACGAGAUACUGGGGUGGGACGCCGACAUUUGCGUAGGCAACCACAGAACUAUGUACAGUAUCAACGUAAAACUAUCAUUAAAAAGCAUGUUCCUGCUGAAAGCGAACCCAAUGACUUUUUUCAUCCAAUAUCAUCUCGAACAGAUUUGUCAAACGAAACCUUCGAAACUUCGACGGAUUCAAACGUCGCCUCGAACUCAACGGCCGGACCUUACGUUGCCAUUUUCAAUUCGUCGUCGUCGCAAGCGCCUUGGCUAUUACUUCCCUUGCCGUCGCCGUCAUCUGUCGGCACGUCUUGUCCCCCUUGUGACCCUACAAGAUGCCCCCAUGAGGGUGGAACCUUCUUACAGUGCCCGACCGAGCUGAGGAUUAAAGACGACUGUGGUUGUUGUGUAGUCUGCCUUCGUGGUCUGCACCAAACGUGUGGAGGGAUGUACCAAAUUAUGGGGAAAUGUCGGGUAGGUUUAGUUUGCCUACCCACCAAGAAUUCAGAUUUUUCAGCUCUGCGUCUUUCCCCUGGAAAUACCGAGAAUCCGCGUCCCUCUUUUGAAGGGACUUGUGAAUUAAUAGAUGACAUCCCCGAUCCAUGUCGCAAUGUUGGCUGUGAUACCACAAUAAAGUACCAGUGUCCAAGGGAUUCUUUACUUGUGGCCAAUGUGAGUGGUGCAACCGGAAGCGCAUCAAUGGAGAUCUGCUGCAAGGAGAGACUCACUUGUCAGUGCAAUAUGGAUGCUUGCAACAUACCAAAGUGCAUUGUUGGAUACCUUCCGCAGCGAGUGCACCAUGGCACCAGAAAGCCAGGAGAUUGCUGUGAUAACUUCGUCUGUAAACGGAACAAAAAUUGUGCGCUGGUGAAAUGCCCUAAGCCAAAAUCUUGUCCCAAGGACAGUGUCAACAUGGUGAAAAAACUCAGCAAGGAUGGCUGUUGUUCUGCUGAAUCUGUGUGCCAGUGCCAGCACAGAGACAGGUGCCCUGCUGUUGAAUGCUCUCAAAACUUUAGAAUUGAGGUGGUGGAGAAGGCGACCCACCAGCCUGGUUCCUGCUGUGAUAAAUUCAAAUGUGUUAACAAGAACAGCUGUUUUUCUCGUGGUCAGUCCUACCAACAUGGAGAUGUGUGGAAACUGGACAACUGCACCAAAUGCAGCUGCAAGAAUGGCCUGACGUAUUGCCAGCGGCAGACAUGCAGAAGCUUGCAGUGUAAAUGGGUAACGAUUCCUGUUGGGGAAUGUUGUCCAGUUUGUAAUGGGAACAUUUGUUUUUCUGAUGGAAGAAUCUACCAACAUCUUGCUGAAUGGAAGCAUGACAACUGCACCAAGUGCAGCUGUAACAAUGGUCUAAUCUCUUGUCAGAAGGAGAAGUGUAAGCCCCUCCAGUGUGGUUGGAUGACCGUCCCGCAAGGACAGUGCUGUCCUGUCUGCAAAGGUUGUAUGAAUGGUGACAGACUUUACAAGAAUUCUGAGACAUGGAAAGAAGAAGGUUGUUUGUCAUGUCGAUGUAAUAAUGGUGUUGUUGAAUGUCAGACAGAAAUGUGUUCCGUUCGCUGUCCGAAUGCCCGAAGUGUCCCAGGACAGUGCUGUCCAGUCUGUGAGAACAAUUGUUCCAUUUCCUGUAAAUAUGGUUACGAAGUGGAUGAAAAGAACCGCCAGACCUGUAAAUGUGCCGCAGCUCCCUCUAAAUGUCCUGCCAUCACUUCAUGUAAGCGCCGCUGUAAGUUCGGCUACAAGCGCACCAGAAAUGGUUGUCUUCGUUGCAAAUGUCACACGUGUCCAUACAUCCAUUGCAACAAGCGUUGUCCUUUCGGCUUUAUAACCAACCGCAGGGGCUGCAAGUUGUGUAUGUGUGUAGAUGAGCCAUAUAACAGAAAGUCGUCAACCCCUCAGAUCCCAACAUCAUCAUCGCUAUGGUUACCGAGCAGCUGCAUGUCCAAUGGAAUACAUUACAAAGAUGGCGACAUGUGGUAUGAUGGUUGCCGUGAGUGCUACUGUAGGGAAGGACAAGAACUUUGCUCAUUAAUUACCUGUAACAUUCCAAAGUGUCACAAUCCAAUAUUUCGACCUGGAGACUGCUGCCCAUCAUGCGCAGGUACUGACACUCUCCCAUCUAAGGGCUCCACUCAACAACGGACAUGUCAUGGUAACAAUGGUAAUGAUUAUGUUGAAGGUGAGGUGUGGCAGUUGGGCAAGUGCACCAGCUGCAUAUGUCAUUAUGGUAUCAUAUUGUGUACGACAGAGAAGUGUCCACCACAGUUAUGUCAUUAUCCAAUACAGCAAUCGGAUCAGUGUUGUCCACUUUGUCCAAACCAAUACCCAGACAAACCAACAGUCAGUAAGCCUCACCUAAAGUAUUGUAGAGGCGAGACAUCAUUCAAACAUGGUGAAGUAUGGCGUGUGAGUCCCUGCCAAAGCUGUAUGUGUCGAAACGGACGGAUCAACUGUUUCUCACAGAAUUGUCCACCCAUGAAAUGUCAACAGGCAUCUUUCCGUAAAGGACAGUGUUGUGCAGUCUGUAUGGAUAAUGAAACGAAAACAGCCAAGUCAAUCAUAUCCAAGGACAUACCCAUCAUACUGACCACAGUUGGUCCUCCAGAGGUCGUCAAAGAAAAGGUCAAUAAAAAACCAACAUCAUAUGUCGCUGGAGUUAGCGCAGAUGAAACCUCCAACAACAACAACAUCAUCAUCAUCACUGUCGUCGUUCCACUGACAGCCAUUAUUAUUGGGUCAAUGAUCUGCGUGUUUUUACUCAAGAAACAUUGCCGUAAACCGAAAUAGCUGACGGAUUGUGGGGGUGUGUGUGGGGAGAGAGAGAAAGAGAGAGCAGGUUUUUUUAUGUGCGUUUUGUGUGUGUGUGUGUGUGUGUGUAUG
rnacentral:misc_RNA from 1 species